AGUGAACGCUGGCGGUAGGCCUAACACAUGCAAGUCGAACGGCAGCACAGUAAGAUCUUGCUCUUACGGGUGGCGAGUGGCGGACGGGUGAGGAAUACAUCGGAAUCUACUUUUUCGUGGGGGAUAACGUAGGGAAACUUACGCUAAUACCGCAUACGACCUACGGGUGAAAGCAGGGGAUCUUCGGACCUUUCGCGAUUGAAUGAGCCGAUGUCGGAUUAGCUAGUUGGCGGGGUAAAGGCCCACCAAGGCGACGAUCCGUAGCUGGUCUGAGAGGAUGAUCAGCCACACUGGAACUGAGACACGGUCCAGACUCCUACGGGAGGCAGCAGUGGGGAAUAUUGGGCAAUGGGCGCAAGCCUGAUCCAGCCAUACCGCGUGGGUGAAGAAGGCCUUCGGGUUGUAAAGCCCUUUUGUUGGGAAAGAAAAGCAGCAGGUUAAUACCCCGCUGUUCUGACGGUACCCAAAGAAUAAGCACCGGCUAACUUCGUG
rnacentral:rRNA from 1 species